GACGAACGCUGGCGGCGUGCUUAACACAUGCCAGUCGAACGGAAAGGCCCUGCUUUUGUGGGGUGCUCGAGUGGCGAACGGGUGAGUAACACGUGAGUAACCUGCCCUUGACUUUGGGAUAACUUCAGGAAACUGGGGCUAUUACCGGAUAGGAGCUCCUGCUGCAUGGUGGGGGUUGGAAAGUUUCGGCGGUUGGGGUUGGACUGGCGGGUUAUCAGCUUGUGGGUGGGGUAGUGGCAUACCAAGGCUUUGACGGGUAGCCGGCCUGAGAGGGUGAACGCGCACAUGGGGACUGCGAUACGGCGCAGACUCCUACGGGAGGCAGCAGUGGGGAAUAUUGCACAAUGGGCGGAAGCCUGAUGCAGCGACGCCGCGUGCGGGAUGACGGCCUUCGGGUUGUAAACCGCUUUCGCCUGUGACGAAGCGUGAGUGACGGUAAUGGGUAAAGAAGCACCGGCUAACUACGUG
rnacentral:rRNA from 1 species